rnacentral:rRNA from 1 species
UACGGAGGGUGCGAGCGUUGUCCGGAAUCAUUGGGCGUAAAGGGCGCGUAGGUGGCCCGGUCAGUCUUUGGUGAAAGCGCGGGGCUCAACCCUGCGUCGGCCAGGGAUACUGCCGCGGCUCGAGCACUGUAGAGGCAGGCGGAAUUCCGGGUGUAGCGGUGGAAUGCGUAGAGAUCCGGAAGAACACCGGUGGCGAAGGCGGAUCUCUGGGCCAUUACUGACGCUGAGGAGCGAAAGCGUGGGGAGCGAACAGG